GCGUCAUACCCAAGAAGACAUGAGGUUGUAAUCACUGCCAAAGGUGCUUCAACAAAGUACAGAGUAAAUGGUCUGACUACUUAUUUAAAUGAUAUUUUAUUUGUAUAAAUUAGCAUAAGUCUUAAAACUGUUUUUGCUUUGUCACGAUGGGGUAAGGUGUGUAGAUUGACUAGGGAAUUUUUUUAAAAAUAUUUUGUCGAAAAAUUAAAGGGUCUGAAUAUUUUCCGAAGGCACUGUAUACCAUUUCCACACACACACGAAGACAGAUCCAGCUCAGAGGCCCAACUCGUAAGCUCCAAUAGCAGCAGAUUUGAAUUUAGAAUGGAAAAUGAAUGUGUUUCAGUAAAAACAUGCUAGUGCGUCGAAUCGUAUCUCAUCGAACCGAAACGCAGAUGAUUUCCUCUAAAAGACUGCAUAAUCAAUCGGCAUCUGAAUUGGCCGUACAGUAUUCACUGCGAUGCAGUGUCGACAGACUUCAGGGUUUUCAUACUAAUUGCGUUUUGCGAAGCAGAGCCAUUGUGAAGGAAGUUGUCAAAGAUGGGAAUGUCCUCCAACGUCAUGGCGAUGGCUCUCAGUUUGGGGUCAUCUCGCCAGUUCACUUUACUGGCAAUGAUGAUCCCCUGGAGAAAACAUCGCAACAUGAUUUUGACAUAACAAAAACAGGACAUUCUGUGUGAUGGUGGCCAUCUUCUGGUAUUUCUCUCGGUGAGACUGGCCUUUCUGCAGGAUGUUUCUGUACUUCGCCUCGGGGAGGCUCCCUCUUCAACUCGUCCAUCUUCUCAUGAGUGAGACGCUUUGGAUCUGCAGAGGAGAAAAAUAAAAUGCAAACG